rnacentral:lncRNA from 1 species
CCCAAUAGCAGAAACCCUAGCCCAAAUAAAAAAAACAAAAUGUUUGCAGCAGAAAACCCUAGGCGCAGCAUGCCUAGGGCGCGCCGCUCCAGCCUCUGCCCAACCCCUCGCACGCCUCUGCUCCGCGCCAGCCUCCACGACACCCAUACCGUCUGACACCCCACCACUGUCGGCCACGGUCACCUGCAAAGCCAAGAAGCAGGCGCAACAACAAAGAAAAUAAUGUAAAAAAGGAAAAUAAUUCGGUUAUAA